UACGUAGGGGGCAAGCGUUGUCCGGAUUUAUUGGGCGUAAAGAGCGUGUAGGCGGCUAGAUAGGUCCGUUGUGAAAACUCGGGGCUCAACCCCGAGACGCCACCUGAUACUGCUAUGGCUAGAGUCCGGUAGGGGAGCAUGGAAUUCCCGGUGUAGCGGUGAAAUGCGCAGAUAUCGGGAGGAACACCAGUGGCGAAGGCGAUGCUCUGGGCCGGUACUGACGCUGAGGAGCGAAAGCGUGGGGAGCGAACAGG
rnacentral:rRNA from 1 species